AGGACGAACGCUGGCGGCGUGCUUAACACAUGCAAGUCGAACGGUGACCCUCGGAGCUUGCUUCGGGGUGAUCAGUGGCGAACGGGUGAGUAACACGUGAGUAACCUGCCCCAGACUCUGGGAUAAACCCCCGGGAAACCGGAGCUAAUACCGGAUACGACACGGAGAGGCAUCUCUACCGUGUGGUAAAGUUUUUCGGUCUGGGAUGGACUCGCGGCCUAUCAGCUUGUUGGUGAGGUAAUGGCUCACCAAGGCGACGACGGGUA
rnacentral:rRNA from 1 species